UGAGACCUGAUGCCGAGCCGAUUGUGGUGAAGUGGAUGAUCCUAUGCUGUCGAGAAAAGCCUCUAGCGAGUUUCAUGGCGGCCCGUACCCUAAACCGACUCAGGUGGUCAGGUAGAGAAUACCGAGGCGUUCGGGUGAACUAUGGUUAAGGAACUCGGCAAAAUGCCCCCGUAACUUCGGGAGAAGGGGGGCCAUUGCUGGUGAUGAGGUUUUCCCUCUGAGCUGGUGGUGGCCGCAGAGACCAGCGAGAAGCGACUGUUUACUAAAAACACAGGUCCGUGCGAAGCCGUAAGGCGAUGUAUACGGACUGACGCCUGCCCGGUGCUGGAACGUUAAGGGGACCGGUUAGCUCUGUUUCGACAGGGCGAAGCUGAGAACUUAAGCGCCAGUAAACGGCGGUGGUAACUAUAACCAUCCUAAGGUAGCGAAAUUCCUUGUCGGGUAAGUUCCGACCUGCACGAAUGGCGUAACGACUUCUCGACUGUCUCAACCAUAGGCCCGGUGAAAUUGCACUACGAGUAAAGAUGCUCGUUUCGCGCAGCAGGACGGAAAGACCCCGGGACCUUUACUAUAGCUUGAUAUUGGUGUUCGGUUCGGCUUGUGUAGGAUAGGUGGGAGACUGUGAUCCUUGGACGCCAGUUCAGGGGGAGUCGUUGUUGAAAUACCACUCUGGUCGUGCUGGAUGUCUAACCUGGGUCCGUGAUCCGGAUCAGGGACAGUGUCUGGUGGGUAGUUUAACUGGGGCGGUUGCCUCCUAAAGAGUAACGGAGGCGCCCAAAGGUUCCCUCAGCCUGGUUGGCAAUCAGGUGUUGAGUGUAAGUGCACAAGGGAGCUUGACUGUGAGACUGACGGGUCGAGCAGGUACGAAAGUAGGGACUAGUGAUCCGGCGGUGGCUUGUGGAAGCGCCGUCGCUCAACGGAUAAAAGGUACCCCGGGGAUAACAGGCUGAUCUUCCCCAAGAGUCCAUAUCGACGGGAUGGUUUGGCACCUCGAUGUCGGCUCGUCGCAUCCUGGGGCUGGAGUCGGUCCCAAGGGUUGGGCUGUUCGCCCAUUAAAGCGGUACGCGAGCUGGGUUUAGAACGUCGUGAGACAGUUCGGUCCCUAUCCGCUGUGCGCGUAGGAGUCUUGAGAAGGGCUGUCCCUAGUACGAGAGGACCGGGACGGACGAACCUCUGGUGUGCCAGUUGUCCUGCCAAGGGCAUGGCUGGUUGGCUACGUUCGGAAAGGAUAACCGCUGAAAGCAUCUAAGCGGGAAGCCUGCUUCGAGAUGAGGGCUCCCUCCCACUUGAUGGGGUAAGGCUCCCAGUAGACGACUGGGUUGAUAGGCCAGAUAUGGAAGCCCGGUAACGGGUGGAGUUGACUGGUACUAAUAGGCCGAGGGCUUGUCCU
rnacentral:rRNA from 1 species